rnacentral:tRNA from 1 species
UAGCUCAGUUGGUAGAGUGUUUGCCUUGCGUGCACAAGGCCCUGGGUUCAAUCCCCAG